rnacentral:rRNA from 1 species
UACGAGUGCCCCAAGCGUUAUCCGGAAUCAUUGGGCGUAAAGGGUGUGUAGGCGGUUUGGGUAGUCGUCUGUUAAAUUCUUCGGCUUAACCGGGGGCAUGCAGAGGAAACGGCACAACUAGAGGAUGCGAGAGGUGAAUGGAACUCAUGGAGUAGGGGUGAAAUCCGUUGAUAUCAUGGGGAACACCAAAUGCGAAGGCAAUUCACUGGCGCACUCCUGACGCUGAGACACGAAAGCGUAGGUAGCGAAUGGG